GUCCCUGUAGCUUAAACCAAAGCAUGGUGCUGAAGAUACCAAGACGGAUACCAUUCUCCCAAGGACA
rnacentral:tRNA from 1 species